GAGGGUAUAGCUCAAGUGGUAGAGCAUGAGGUUAGCAUGCAUGAGGUCCUGGGUUCAAUCCCCAGUACCUCCU
rnacentral:tRNA from 1 species